CAGAUUAUAGCUUAUUUAAAAGCUUAUUAUUUACAUUAAUAUGAAAAUUAAAAUUUUUUCUGA
rnacentral:tRNA from 1 species